GACUUGAAUCUCCUGAAUUACUCUGUAAUGGAGGAAGCCACUUCGGUGGCAGGAAGACAGGUGGUGCAUGGUUGUCGUCAGCUCGUGUCGUGAGAUGUUGGGUUAAGUCCCGCAACGAGCGCAACCCUUAUUGUUAGUUGCUACCAUUUAGUUGAGCACUCUAGCGAGACUGCCCGGGUUAACCGGGAGGAAGGUGGGGAUGACNUCAAAUCAUCAUGCCCCUUAUGUCUAGGGCUACACACGUGCUACAAUGGUCGGUACAAUGAGAUGCAACCUCGUGAGAGUGAGCAAAACUAUAAAACCGAUCUCAGUUCGGAUUGUAGGCUGAAACUCGCCUACAUGAAGCUGGAGUUGCUAGUAAUCGCGAAUCAGAAUGUCGCGGUGAAUACGUUCCCGGGUCUUGUACACACCG
rnacentral:rRNA from 1 species